UACGGGGGGAGCAAGCGUUGUUCGGAAUUACUGGGCGUAAAGGGCGCGUAGGCGGCCUGCUAAGUCGAACGUGAAAUCCCUGGGCUCAACCCAGGAACUGCGUCCGAUACUGGUUGGCUUGAAUCCGGGAGAGGGAUGUGGAAUUCCAGGUGUAGCGGUGAAAUGCGUAGAUAUCGAGAGGAACACCGGUGGCGAAGGCGGCGAUCUGGACGAUGACUGACGCUGAGACGCGAAAGCGUGGGGAGCAAACAGG
rnacentral:rRNA from 1 species